rfam:Picoides pubescens contig3891, whole genome shotgun sequence.
UGGAAGUGAUGACAUAGAGAUCAUUGGAUGUGCCUUUGAAUGGGGGGGUGUGUGGUAACUGGGGUUUAAACCCAGCUGGGCUGGGGGGUGGGGGAUGUGUGUGUGGUGUGUGGGUGUGGGAAAGGCUUUGACUGGGGGCACUGAUGGUGCAGUGCUGCUUUCCGGAGUGCAUCUGAGGCGUGUUGCGAAGCUCCGGGGUGCUCCUGGCAACACUGCCGAUGAUUAAACCCCACACAAGCCCACCAGGAGGAGCCUGGGCAUCCUGCUUCUCUGACAGCUUCACUGAGGCCAGUGAAGCUGUGUGCUGAUCCAA